UACGUAGGGGGCAAGCGUUGUCCGGAAUCAUUGGGCGUAAAGAGCGUGUAGGCGGCCUGAUAAGUCCGCUGUGAAAGUCCAGGGCUCAACCCUGGAAUGCCGGUGGAUACUGUCGGGCUCGAAUCCGGAAGAGGUGAGUGGAAUUCCUGGUGUAGCGGUGAAAUGCGUAGAGAUCAUGAGGAAGACCAGUGGCGAAGGCGGGUCUCUGGACAGUUCCUGACACUGAGGCACGAAGGCCAGGGGAGCAAACGGG
rnacentral:rRNA from 1 species